rnacentral:rRNA from 1 species
GAUGAACGCUGGCGGCGUGCCUAAUACAUGCAAGUCGAGCGAAUGGAUUAAGAGCUUGCUCUUAUGAAGUUAGCGGCGGACGGGUGAGUAACACGUGGGUAACCUGCCCAUAAGACUGGGAUAACUCCGGGAAACCGGGGCUAAUACCGGAUAACAUUUUGAACCGCAUGGUUCGAAAUUGAAAGGCGGCUUCGGCUGUCACUUAUGGAUGGACCCGCGUCGCAUUAGCUAGUUGGUGAGGUAACGGCUCACCAAGGCAACGAUGCGUAGCCGACAUGAGAGGGUGAUGGGCCACACUGGGACCGAGACACGGCCCAGACUCCUACGGGAGGCAGCAGUAGGGAAUCUUCCGCAAUGGACGAAAGUGUGACGGAGCAACGCCGCGUGAGUGAUGAAGGCUUUCGGGUCGUAAAACUCUGUUGUUAGGGAAGAACAAGCGCUAGUUGAAUAAGCUGGCACCUUGACGGUACCUAACCAGAAAGCCACGGCUAACUACGUGCCAGCCGCCGCAGUAA